UACGGGGGGAGGCAAGCGUUUGUUCGGAAUUACUGGGCGUAAAGGGCUCGUAGGCGGCCAACUAAGUCAGACGUGAAAAUCCCCUCGGCUUAACCGGGGGAACUGCAUCUGAUACUGGAUGGCUUGAGUUCGGGAGAGGGAUGCGGAAUUCCAGGUGUAGCGGUGAAAUGCGUAGAUAUCUGGAGGAACACCGGUGGCGAAGGCGGCAUCCUGGACCAACACUGACGCUGAGUGAGCGAAAGCCAGGGGAGCAAAGCGGG
rnacentral:rRNA from 1 species